rnacentral:rRNA from 1 species
UAUGAACGCCGGCGGUGUGCCUAAUACAUGCAAGUCGUACGCACUGGCCCAACUGAUUGAUGGUGCUUGCACCUGAUUGACGAUGGAUCACCAGUGAGUGGCGGACGGGUGAGUAACACGUAGGUAACUUGCCCCGGAGCGGGGAUAACGAUUUAGGAAACGAGAUAGCUAAUACCGCAUAACAACAAAAGCCACAUGGCUUUUGCUUGAAAGAUGGCUUUGGCUAUCACUCUGGGAUGGACCUGCGGUGCAUUAGCUAGUUGGUAAGGUAAUGGCUUACCAAGGCGAUGAUGCAUAGCCGAGUUGAGAGACUGAUCGGCCGCAAUGGAACUGAGACACGGUCCAU